GCCAGACUCCUACGGGAGGCAGCAGUGGGGGAUAUUGCACAAUGGGGGAAACCCUGAUGCAGCGACGCCGCGUGGGCGAAGAAGUAUUUCGGUAUGUAAAGCCCUAUCAGCAGGGAAGAAGAAAUGACGGUACCUGAGUAAGAAGCACCGGCUAAAUACGUGCCAGCAGCCGCGGUAAUACGUAUGGUGCAAGCGUUAUCCGGAUUUACUGGGUGUAAAGGGAGCGCAGGCGGCAGCGCAAGCCAGGAGUGAAAGCCCGGGGCCCAACCCCGGGACUGCUCUUGGAACUGCGCGGCUGGAGUGCAGGAGGGGCAGGCGGAAUUCCUGGUGUAGCGGUGAAAUGCGUAGAUAUCAGGAGGAACACCGGUGGCGAAGGCGGCCUGCUGGACUGCGACUGACGUUGAGGCCCGAAAGCGUGGGGAGCAAACAGGAUUAGAUACCCGUGUA
rnacentral:rRNA from 1 species